rnacentral:rRNA from 1 species
AAUCAUUUGUCUUUUAAAUGAAGACUUGUAUGAACGGCAAAACCUCCUCCAACUGUCUCCCCUCCCAUCCUUCCAAAUUUCCUCCUGCGUGAAGAAGCGCAGAUACACCAGAAAGACGAGAAGACCCUGUCGAGCUUUAACCACUAAGUGGGCCUUACCCUUUCAGGCACCACCCAAAGGUUUUGGUUGGGGCAACCACGGAGAAAAAACAUCCUCCAGAACGAAUAGAAGAAAGCUUUUCACUAUUAUUACGACUAAGAACCAGAAACUGGUAUUCGGAAAGAGUUACCGCAGGGAUAACAGCGUCAUCUCCUCUAAGAGUCCUUAUUGACGAGGAGGUUUGCGACCUCGAUGUUGGAUUGGGGCCCCCUUAGGGUGCAGAAGCUCUAAACGGUUAGACUGUUCGUCUAUUAAAGCCCUACAUGAUCUGAGUUCAAACCGGAG